UUCAAAUUUGGAACGCAAACUCUUCAAGUGCAAUCUCUCCUGUGGGCCCCGUUGUUCCUUCAAUGGUAUCUUCUUCAGCUGUUCAAUGACGUGUUGCAAAAGUCCAUGCUCUUGUGUGAUAACAUACUGACGAAAUNAUACCCAUGCAUAGCAUGUGUAAUGGAUAGUCUCUGUAACUCCUAGAACACGCCAGGUUGACUUCAAUAGCUCAAGUAUUUCUUCCACUUCCUCUGUCAGCUUCCCCUCAUCUAAAAUGUCAAAGACACUGAGAAGGAGUUUCUCAUAUAAUCUAACAUUAAGAUGAUAGCCAUCUGCCCAGUGGCA
rnacentral:misc_RNA from 1 species